rnacentral:rRNA from 1 species
UGGCGAGGCGAUAGCAUGUUCAAUGCAUUAGUUUCCAAUGGAUCACUGGAGCUAAGCAACGUUGCGCGUGGUUGGUAUCCGGAGAGGUGACCAUCUUGGCAAUCGCGUGCUUUCCCGA